rnacentral:rRNA from 1 species
CGCUAUCACUCCGUACGGGAGGCAGCAGUAGGGAAUCUUCCACAAUGGGCGCAAGCCUGAUGGAGCAACACCGCGUGAGUGAAGAAGGGUUUCGGCUCGUAAAGCUCUGUUGUUAAAGAAGAACACGUAUGAGAGUAACUGUUCAUACGUUGACGGUAUUUAACCAGAAAGUCACGGCUAACUACGUGCCAGCAGCCGCGGUAAUACGUAGGUGGCAAGCGUUAUCCGGAUUUAUUGGGCGUAAAGAGAGUGCAGGCGGUUUUCUAAGUCUGAUGUGAAAGCCUUCGGCUUAACCGGAGAAGUGCAUCGGAAACUGGAUAACUUGAGUGCAGAAGAGGGUAGUGGAACUCCAUGUGUAGCGGUGGAAUGCGUAGAUAUAUGGAAGAACACCGGUGGCGAAGGCGGCUACCUGGUCUGCAACUGACGCUGAGACUCGAAAGCAUGGGUAGCGAACAGGAUUAGAUACCCUGGUAG